rnacentral:misc_RNA from 1 species
CAGCACGCUUAUUCUGUACUAAAUCGUGACACGUGGCCACUCGAAAGCAACAGAUGGCAGCACAUUGUUACUUGUUAUAGUGUUUUCGGUCACGUGGCUUUUCGUAUAUGUCAGGAUGCCGAAAAGAAAAUGCGUAUGUACUUUGAUAGAAUGCUGCCUUUACAACAUAGCGAAGAAUAUAGACAAUUAUUGGUGUUUUCGGUACUUACGAGACACCGAAAAGUACUUAUACGUGAUUGGUCCGUUUGAGGAAUUAGCUGAACAUCUUAUCGAAGGCCUUAUCAAAAUAUUUCAUAAAAAUAAGUUACUAAGACACCAUCAUCUAAAGAUUUUAUUAAAUUCGUCAAUACGAAAAUUGAAUAUCAGUGGAUGGAAUGGAGACUUAGGUGAAAUUAUACCCACAGUUGCAGUAAAAUGCCAGAAGUUAACUCAUCUUAACAUUAGUGGUUGUUCCAAUAUACCACUGAAAGCCUUUCUACAACUUCCUGAAUCCUUGCCUUUGGUCGUAUCUUUAAAUUUUGGAUGUACAAAAUGUUUCGAUCAAGUCUUAGGAAAGAUUGGAAAAUUCUGUAAGCAUUUAAGAGAACUUGAUGUGAGUUUAACACCUGUAACUGACUUUGGAAUAUCAAGUUUAUGUAUUAAUAUGGAUGAAUUGGAAGAUGGAAAAUCUUCUGCUUCAAAAUUAAUCAAACUUGUUAUUUCAGAGACGAAAGUAACAAAUAAGGGAGCUAGAUGUGCUUUAAUUAAUUUACCUAAUUUAGUCAAUCUCGAGUAUCAUAAUAGUUUGGAUGUUGUGACUGAGUUAUAUGAUUGCGAAUAUGAUAGACAAUACAAAUUACUUCAGUUAUCCGGAGAAAAUAUUAAAGGAGAACGUAUUCACGAACGCUAUUUUGAAAUUGCCCACACGUUAUGCCCAAACGUGACUUACUUGAAAUUAGUGGACGUAGCACUCUCAGACGACGAUCUUUUGCUUUGUGCAGGAUUUGAAAAUCUGACCCAGUUUCAAUUGCUUUGUGGACAGACAUCAUCUGUUACAUUUUAUAAUGGUAUAACGGCACUUUUACAAAUGAGAGGUACACAGAUCACAGCUUUAGAAUUAGGUGACAUUGAUGUCAUUAACAUACCAGUAAUUGGUCAACUGUGUCCAAAUUUAGAACUGCUAUCAUUAUAUAUGAUAGCAAGUUACGAUUAUAUGUUUCAACAUAAAUUAUGUGACAUAGCGGAUCCAUUUUCACGUCUUAAAGAAUUAGAUCUUAUAUUUUUACACGAGGUAGAUAUACCUGAAGUCUUUUUAAAACUUUUACUUACACAAGCAAAACAUUUGAGGCUUUUUCAUCUUCACAAUAGUGAGAGCUUAAGCGACCAACUUUUUCUAGAUGUGCUUACUGUAAAUCCUCUAUCCGAAAUUAAAGAUGUCGCUUUCGAACAUUGCCCGCACAUUACGGGAAACAUGUUAAAAGCCCUGUUGAUGAUGGAAAAUGAGCUGGAAACUUUUAACUGCUUAUGGUGUAGUAAUUUUACCUUGAGAGAAUUUCAAGAAUGUGAAAAAUAUGUUCGUGAACAAAAUUUAGAUGUUAAUAUGCAAUGGUUAUGAGAUUAGAAAUUUUUUAGCGAUUAUAAUAUUUAAUUAGAAUGCUAAACAUCAUAAGUUUCCAGCAUGUGUAAUUAAUAAAAGGAAAGUUUCGCCGUCAUUUCUUAUCCUGCCGACAAGAUUAUUACACCAGUAAACAACUUAAUAUGAUAUUUCCUUUUCUCUAACGAAAACCUGUGUAAACCGGAAUCUCACUGUCGUCCGAUUUGGGAGGUUUCCGCUUUGAACAGUUUCUUUUUUAACGUAGAAAAUCGCUCCAUUAUGAAGAAUUCCUUCCGUUUA